rnacentral:rRNA from 1 species
GAUGAACGCUGGCGGCGUGCCUAAUACAUGCAAGUCGAGCGAACGGACGAGAAGCUUGCUUCUCUGAUGUUAGCGGCGGACGGGUGAGUAACACGUGGAUAACCUACCUAUAAGACUGGGAUAACUUCGGGAAACCGGAGCUAAUACCGGAUAAUAUUUUGAACCUCAUUGUUCAAAAGUGAAAGACGGUCUUGCUGUCACUUAUAGAUGGAUCCGCGCUGCAUUAGCUAGUUGGUAAGGUAACGGCUUACCAAGGCAACGAUGCAUAGCCGACCUGAGAGGGUGAUCGGCCACACUGGAACUGAGACACGGUCCAGACUCCUACGGGAGGCAGCAGUAGGGAAUCUUCCGAAAUGGGCGAAAGCCUGACGGAGCAACGCCGCGUGAGUGAUGAAGGUCUUCGGAUCGUAAAACUCUGUUAUUAGGGAAGAACAUAUGUGUAAGUAACUGUGCACAUCUUGACGGUACCUAAUCAGAAAGCCACGGCUAACUACGUG